GAAAGCCUGACGGAGCGACGCCGCGUGAGCGAGGAAGGCCUUCGGGUCGUAAAGCUCUGUUGUCAGGGAAGAAGGCGCGCCGUUCGAACAGGGCGGCGCGGUGACGGUACCUGACGAGGAAGCCCCGGCUAACUACGUGCCAGCAGCCGCGGUAAAACGUAGGGGGCGAGCGUUGUCCGGAAUUACUGGGCGUAAAGCGCGCGCAGGCGGUCCUUUAAGUUUGAUGUGAAAUUCCGCGGCUCAACCGCGGGUGUGCAUUGGAAACUGGGGGACUUGAGUGCGGAAGAGGGGAGCGGAAUUCCCGGUGUAGCGGUGAAAUGCGUAGAGAUCGGGAGGAACACCAGUGGCGAAGGCGGCUUUCUGGUCCGCAACUGACGCUGAGGCGCGAAAGCGUGGGGAGCGAACAGGAUUAGAUACCCUGGUAGUCCACGCCGUAAACGAUGAGUGCUAAGUGUUAGAGGGGAUUGACC
rnacentral:rRNA from 1 species